UACGUAGGGUGCAAGCGUUAAUCGGAAUUACUGGGCGUAAAGCGUGCGCAGGCGGUUCUAUAAGACAGAUGUGAAAUCCCCGGGCUCAACCUGGGAACUGCAUUUGUGACUGUAGAGCUGGAGUACGGUAGAGGGGGAUGGAAUUCCGCGUGUAGCAGUGAAAUGCGUAGAUAUGCGGAGGAACACGAUGGCGAAGGCAAUCCCCUGGACCUGUACUGACGCUCAUGCACGAAAGCGUGGGGAGCAAACAGG
rnacentral:rRNA from 1 species